UGCGGAGGAGAAGCAAUAGAAAAAACAUUUGUCUUAUUUCCAAUGUGUUGAGGGCCUUAACCUAUUUUUAGAAUUUUUUUAAAUAGAAUAGAACGUUUUCGUCCAAAUACAACAGGAAACCGACAUAACAAACCAGACAGUGAAAGAAAAAAGUUAAGAGAAGCAGUUAUUUUGAAGCAAGUAAAGUAAAAACGUGAACAAAUUACCGGGAUAUUCGCAUAUUAGACUAUCAAAUAUAGAAAAUUAGAAACUGUAGAUAAAAUGUGAUAGAUAGAAGAUAUGACAGGUAAAGAUAUAUGUAAUUAUAUCAAGUUUUUAGUAACUACAUGUUGUAGUCAGUUUCGGAUGAUAAGUCAAAAAAGUUUUAAUAGUCUGUUGUUGAACUAAAUUUUAAACAUAUAUUAUGUCAAUUUUUACUUCAUUGAUUGAAUUUCUCAUUUCGUAGAAUUUUCGAACAAAGAAAUAUUCAAUAAGAUCAAUGAAAGCGAUGGUAAGAGGAAAACAUAAUUAAUUAGAAUAUACUAAUUUAAGAUAACCAAUAACAAGUUAUUAUUGUGAUAUUUUGCCGAUGUUGUAGCUACUGUAAAUGACGAUUUAAAUGCAAAUGGAGAUACUGACAGUGAUGAACGAUGCUGUGUGCUGCAUGCUGGUGAUGGAUACAAAGUUGGCAAAAUAAAUCUCUUCAAUAUGGAAACCCUGGAAAAAGAAAGGAUACCUUGCAUGAUACCGUUGGGAUAGCGUACCAAGUUGUGUCACAAAAUAAUAAAAAAUCAUUGUACCAAGAUGACGAUUCUACCCUUGGCAAUUCUCAGCCAGCUGGAAAGAAAAAACGUAGAUCAUUUCUGGUUGUAGGAUUAGACAUAGAGCCGUACAGAAAAAAACACUAAGAUUUUAACAAGAAUAAUGCUUACACUAGAUGACCAGAGAAGGGCGUCAGAACCCCUUUCAUAUAUCAAAGCACGCAUGUACUAUACCUUGUGGAUGAUGGAUUUUUAUUUUUCACCCGACACUACACCAAUGUGGGUUGGCUAGAAUUCUAUAAUUUUUCAAAAUACCAACAAUCUGCAAAAAGUUUGGUACCUGCCACAAAUUAAUCAGUCUCCAACUUCUAUAGCUGUAGUAGCAGAAACAUUGAGGCGUACACAGGUGAUUGCGAAUGAAUGUGGUAAAAAAACCAUUUCAGUAACAUAUGAUCUUGCGAUUGCCAAAGUGGCUAUGCAACUUCAAGCGGAAGAAUCUUCAAAGUUUGACGAUAUAUUUGUCGCUCUAGGUGCAUUCCAUGUAGAGAUGGCCAUGUUUAGCGCAUUUGGCAAGUACAUCGCUGAAUCUGGUGUUCCACAUAUCCUAAAUGAAGCUGGUGUGAUUGAAAAAGGUUCUCUCAAGUCAUUUUUACUAUGAAAGUGUUAUAAGAGAAGUAAAAGAUGUCACCAAAUACUUGCACUUGCAAUGGAGAUUCUUCAUUUUCAAUAUUUUCUUCAAGAAAGAGAGGAAAUUCAAUUAAAAAAAGAUAUCCAAGAAGAAAUCAAGUUUAUAAAAUCCCAAGAACCCUUGAACUUGCAUGAAGGACAUAAAGUAUUCAAAGAAGUCAACAAUGUCUUGCGUGAAUACAGUCAAUUCAGGCAAGAUACAGAGAAAGGAAAUCAGGGUGCAACAGCACAAUACUGGAUGGGUACGUCAAGAUGAUACGACUUUACCAUGAUUUUAGUAGAAGCUUGAGGAAUGGAAACUUUGAUCUGUAUGUGUGCUGCUUGACUAAAAUCAUAAACUAUUUCUUUAGCAUGAACCAUCCAAAUUACGCUCGUUGGAUUGUCCGUUAUCAUGAUAAUCUUCUCAAACUAAAGGACUCCCAUCCCGAGGUUUACAGUGAAUUUCCAAGGGGAUUAUUUUCGCUGCGAAGAACCCAAAAGUCACUCUCAAGAUUAGAUUAGAAAAUGAAGCAAUUUCCUGUGUUAAAAAGUUUGAUGGAAGUUCUCUACCACCUUGUUUACGAGUGUUGCGUCAAAAGAUUUAUCGAACAAAGUAGGUUGCACAGUUAUGGAUGUCAUCAAUAACGUCCGAGCCUCCAAAUCACCUUCCUGAAGACAUGGGUUGGCUGCUGAAAGAUGGCAGCUAUAUCAUUAAGUGGUACGAAGCCGAAAUGUCUCCAAAAGCAGUAGAUGUCACCAGCAAUGAAAAUUAUUAUGGAUUCUCCAGAGAAGAAUUUUGGAUAUUAAGUUUUACAAUCUAGUCACUGAGUUUUUUAAUUAUUACUCGGAAGCAAUUCUUUAUUUCCGCUACUGCCGCCGCUAUUUAAAAUAUUAAAAGUAUUUCCAUUCUCCUUAAGAUUUUGAAGGGUUUGAUGAACUGUCAAGUAAUGACGAUUCAGACAGUGAUGGCGAAACUAGUGACGAAGACGAGUAAUGAUAAUUUAAGAUGCUGAUGCAGAACAAUAUCAAUCAUGCUGCUAUAACCUAUUGUACAUAGUUAUAUUUUAUUAAAUGCUAUCAUAGCAUUUCUUUUUUAAUUUGAUAUCGCUAACUAUUUUCUGACCUGAUCAAGAGACCGUAAUUUUUGGUUUGCUUUUUGCCUAAUCACAAUAGUCUUCCAAAAUCUUUAGUUUGUACCUUAUGAGGUCUAAUUUGAGUCCCUGUUCAGAUCUUUGUCUGACCUGCUGAUAGGACUGCAUUUUUU